rnacentral:rRNA from 1 species
AGAGGGUGAGAGCCCCGUACGGUUGGAUACCUAGCCUCUAUAUAGCUCCUUCGACGAGUCGAGUAGUUUGGGAAUGCUGCUCUAAAUGGGAGGUAAAUUUCUUCUAAAGCUAAAUACCGGCCAGAGACCGAUAGCGCACAAGUAGAGUGAUCGAAAGAUGAAAAGCACUUUGAAAAGAGGGUUAAAUAGCACGUGAAAUUGUUGAAAGGGAAGCGUUUGCGACCAGACCUUCUCCAGGGGGAUCAACCGCUGUUCUCAGCGGUGCACUCCCCCUGGUUUAGGCCAGCAUCGGUUCUCUUAGGGGGAUAAAGGCCUGGGGAACGUAGCUCUUUAGGGAGUGUUAUAGCCCCUAGCGUAAUACCCUUCAGGGGACCGAGGACCGCGCUUCGGCAAGGAUGCUGGCGUAAUGGUCGUCAACGACCCGUCUUGAAACACGGACCAAGGAGUCGAACAUUUGUGCGAGUGUUUGGGUGUUAAACCCUCACGCGUAAUGAAAGUGAACGGAGGUGAGAGCCUUAGGGUGCAUCAUCGACCGAUCCUGAUGUCUUCGGAUGGAUUUGAGUAAGAGCAUAACUGUUCGGACCCGAAAGAUGGUGAACUAUGCGUGGAUAGGGUGAAGCCAGAGGAAACUCUGGUGGAGGCUCGCAGCGGUUCUGACGUGCAAAUCGAUCGUCAAAUCUGCGCAUGGGGGCGAAAGACUUAUCGA